UCCUCUGUGGUGUAACGGUAGAGCACGCGUCUCCGGAUAGGAUGAAACGCGGGUGCGAUUUCCGCCUGAGGCC